rnacentral:rRNA from 1 species
ACGAACGCUGGCGGCGUGCUUAACACAUGCAAGUCGAACGGAAAGGCCCUGCGUUUGUGGGGUGCUCGAGUGGCGAACGGGUGAGUAACACGUGAGUAACCUGCCCUUGACUUUGGGAUAACUUCAGGAAACUGGGGCUAAUACCGGAUAGGAGCUCCUGCUGCAUGGUGGGGGUUGGAAAGUUUCGGCGGUUGGGGAUGGACUCGCGGCUUAUCAGCUUGUUGGUGGGGUAGUGGCUUACCAAGGCUUUGACGGGUAGCCGGCCUGAGAGGGUGACCGGCCACAUUGGGACUGAGAUACGGCCCAGACUCCUACGGGAGGCAGCAGUGGGGAAUAUUGCACAAUGGGCGGAAGCCUGAUGCAGCAACGCCGCGUGCGGGAUGACGGCCUUCGGGUUGUAAACCGCUUUCGCCUGUGACGAAGCGUGAGUGACGGUAAUGGGUAAAGAAGCACCGGCUAACUACGUG